rnacentral:rRNA from 1 species
GAUAAACGCUGGCGGCGUGCAUGAGACAUGCAAGUCGAACGGACGAUCGAGGCUUGCUUCGAUCGUUAGUGGCGGACGGCUGAGUAACGCGUAGGUGACCUGCCCCGAAGUGGGGAAUAACUGCCCGAAAGGGGUGGCUAAUACCGCAUGUGGUGGUGUGUUCAAUCACACCAGUAAAGCCGCAAGGCGCUUCGGGGAGGGGCCUGCGUCCGAUUAGCUCGUUGGUGGGGUAACGGCNCACCAAGGCGACGAUCGGUAGGUGGUCUGAGAGGACGAUCACCCAGACUGGGACUGAGACACGGCCCAGACUCCUACGGGAGGCAGCAGUCGGGAAUUUU